GACGAACGCUGGCGGCGUGCUUAACACAUGCAAGUCGAACGGAAAAACCCUGCUUUUGUGGGUUUCUCGAGUGGCGAACGGGUGAGUAACACGUGAGUAACCUGCCCUUGACUUUGGGAUAACUUCAGGAAACUCGGGCUCAUACCGGAUAGGAGCUCCUGCUGCAUGGUGGUGGUUGGUAAGUUUCGGCUGUUGGGGCUGUACUCGAGGCUUAUCAGCUUGUUGGUGUGGUAGUGGCUGACCAGGGCUGUGACGGGUAGCCGGCCUGAGAGGGUUACCGGGGACAAUGGGACUGCGAUACGGCCCAGAAGCGUACGGGAGGCAGCAGUGGGGAAUAUGGCACAAUGGGCGGAAGCCAGAGGUAGCAACGCUGGGUGCGGGAUGACGGCUUUCGGGUUGUAAACAGCUGUCGCAUGAGACGAAGCGGGAGUGACGGUAAUGGGUAAAGAAGCACCGGCUAACUACGUG
rnacentral:rRNA from 1 species